GUGUGUCAUGUCGGUGCUGUCGGACUGAUGUGUUUGUUUUUCGGUCAAGUUAUAUGCGCGGAGCAGAACAGUCUUGUAACUCUUUGGAGACAUAGUUUACCUAACAGGUGUCUUUUUCUGAUUUCUCAAAGUUUCGUCUUACUUCACCCAUGUUGAGUGUUCUUUCCGUUAGUAUGCCUACUAUACUAUAUUGAGCUCUUUGUUUUUUCAAACUCUGGGUUUUCUUAAUAUGUUGGUCUGUCUCAUAGGCCGGGACGUGUGCACAGCACAGGGCUCGCUUGCUUAUUGACCUGUGCUUAGGCCUUUCCAUCCGCGGCCGUGGUUCUCCAGUCUCCACCUACGACCGACGGAGUUAUCAAAAGGCUUGAGAGAUUCUUCCAGUCUUCUUAUAUCUGGAGCAGGGGGAGUGAGUGAGAUCGCCGGGUUAUAUCUUUUUUUUUUGAGAAAAGCUAGAUGGGCUGACCCAACGUUGGCUUUUUCUUCUAUGUUUUUCUUUUCUUUUUUCGCAUUUAUGUUUUUACAUCAUUUUUUUCUCUACACGUCUAUUUUUUCAGUAGUGUAUAUUUUUUAUAACCAUUUACUGAAAAUGUCACGAACAUAUUUUGGAAACACGUGGACAUAUUAAGAAAAGUCACGUACAUUUUUUAAUUAAACGGACAUUUUCUCUACAUUGUAUAAAUAAUUUUUAAAACCUAUCGUGAACAUUCUUUUGAAACACGUGACCAUUUUCAAAUGCCAUGAGCAUUGUUUUGAAUGAUAACAACAUUUUUUAGAAGUUCCGUGGACGUUCCUUUUACACAGAAAAAGCUUCCAAUCAACCGACUGAUCUUCUCGCUGCAUCCGCCGCUCGCGAGGCCGUCAGAUUGCGACCCACAUAUCUGUUGGAUCAUGGUUGCGCGUGCACCUUGGGACCACUUACCACUUGCCUUUGGCGAUAGCAGGCAACGAUGACCACAUAUGCGAGGCAACGAUGUUGCAAAAACAGAAAUCAAUCGUUCGAUCCCCUCAACGAAUCUAGCACCUACUCCCUCGUUUUCUCGCCUUCGGUCCCCUCGAUCUCAUCUCUCUCCCCACGACGCUCUAACACUUUCUCCCUUCAAUCUGCUUCUAAAAUCAUCCACGGCCCAAGCUUCAGUCAUGGCGGACGGGGGCGUCAAUCUGCUUCGCAAAUCAUCCAUAGCCCAAGCUACAACCAUAGCGAACAGUGGUGCUGAUAUGUUUCCCAAAUCAUCCAUGGGCCAAGCUCCAGCAAUGGUGAACGGCGGUGUCAAUCUGCUUCCUAGAUUAUCCACAACGCAAGCUCUAGCCAUGGCGAAAGGAGAAGAUAGAAGAUAUUUGUUUUUGCAACAAAGGGGUUGUUGUAACCACAACAAGGAUCUUUUUGCAAAAGGGCCCUAUUGCAGCAUAAAAAAAACUCAUAAAAAUGAUUCUGUAACAAGACCUCUGUUGCGAAAUUUUUCUACAAAAAGACCUUUAUUGCAGAAAAACUCGUAAAUGAUUCUGCAACAAGACCUUUGUUAAGAAAAAAAAAAAUCUACAACGAGCCCUCCGUUGCAGAAAAACUCACAAAAAUGAUUCCGAACAAGACCAUUGUUGUGAAAAUUUUCUACCAUGAGACCUCUGUUGCAGAAAAACUAAUAAAAAUGAUUCGGCAAUAGGACCUUUUUGCGAAAAAAUUCUGAAACAAGACCUUUGUUGCAAAAAAAAUUGUAACAAGACCUUGGCUACAGAAAAUACUGCAACAACACACUUGUUGCAAAGAUGACCUGCCACAUAGGUAGAUCAAACGCCAUCCGCAGCUCCAUCCAAUGGUCACGGAUGCGGCGGAUCUUUUUAUAUUAUCGGCCAGCAGACGCGUAGCGUCGCCCGUUACACCGCAUGAACAUUUUUUAAAUGUGCGGCGAACGUUUAUAAAAGUUUAAGUAAAUUAAUUUUGUGGAAUAUUUGUAUUUAUAAUAUUUUUAAAUAUAAAUAAAAGUAAAAAAGGAAAUCAAAAAGAAGAAAGUACCUGCAUAACAAACCUAGACCGUCCUAUUGGGUUGGCCCUCUCUAGCCUUGCUUGAGGCGAGGCAUCUAACUCGUCUGAGGAGAUGUAUAGACGCGCCCGAGCGAGAGAGCUAACUAACGGUUACCCCUUGGGGGCCUCCAACAAUGGUCACUUUUAUUGCUUGAGAGCGUGUCAAAUGGUGCACCCAUUCGUCGUCAUAUGUCAUGUGUUGGGCUCUCUCUCUGUAUUUCAGCCUUUUUAUUUUUUUGUAUGCGUUUUCACGUCUUUAGAUGGGUUUUUCUUCUUUUUCGGCUUCUCGGCUUUUCGGCUUUUGCCUCGUUUUCCUUAAGUUUUGAAGGAUUUUUUUUUGUUUUUCGGUUUUGCCUAGCUGUCUUUAGCUGUCCCGAGUGGCACAAGUUGGUUCCCUAACCAAAUUCCCUAGUCCAAAGAUUCGGUUCCGAAAAUGAAGACCGAAAGGUUCCAAAGACUCAGUAUUUUCUGCUUCAUCGCCCCUAUAUAAUACGAAGCCAAGGGAAAAAUCUAGACCGGCUCAAUAGGAUUAACAAGAUCGCACAUUGUAACCCCAUUGUUCAUACAAGAGAGANNNNNNNNNNNNNNNNNNNNNNNNNNNNNNNNNNNNNNNNNNNNNNNNNNNNNNNNNNNNNNNNNNNNNNNNNNNNNNNNNNNNNNNNNNNNNNNNNNNNNNNNNNNNNNNNNNNNNNNNNNNNNNNNNNNNNNNNNNNNNNNNNNNNNNNNNNNNNNNNNNNNNNNNNNNNNNNNNNNNNNNNNNNNNNNNNNNNNNNNNNNNNNNNNNNNNNNNNNNNNNNNNNNNNNNNNNNNGGUUAAACCUCCAUCAUGUGAAACUCCGCACCUUCAUCAACUAUGUGUGCAUUGCCUUCACAAAAUUACCAACCCAUGAGUAUUGCCGCGCAAUCCCCACGAUAAGGUGUAAACCCAUGAGCGUCGGAAAUAUGUAAACAUUGGUUGUGGGCCAAUAGAUCAGUAAUGGUCUAAUGGAUACCAAGUUGGAGCUCAAACCAUGGAGUUAAUCACGCCAUCAAUAAAUAGAUGAUGUGGUGUUGGGGAACGUAGUAAUUUCAAAAAAAAUUCUACGCACACGCAAGAUCAUGGUGAUGCAUAGCAACGAGAGGGGAGAGUGUGAUCUACGUACCCUUGUAGACCGACAGCGGAAGCGUUAGCACAACGCGGUUGAUAUAGUCGUACGUCUUCACGGCCCGACCGAUCAAGCACCAAAACUACGGCACCUCCGAGUUUUAGCACACGUUCAGCUCGAUGACGAUCCCCGGACUCCGAUCCAGCAAAGUGUCGGGGAAGAGUUCCGUCAGCACGACGGCGUGGUGACGAUCUUGAUGUACUAUUGUCGCAGGGCUUCGCCUAAGCACCGCUACAAUAUUAUCGAGGAUUAUGGUGGAAGGGGGCACCGCACACGGCUAAGAAUAUGAUCACGUGGAUCAACUUGUGUGUCUAGGGGUGCCCCCUGCCCCCGUAUAUAAAGGAUCAAGGGGAGGAGGCCGGCCGGCCCCUAUGGCGCGCCAAGGAGGAAUCCUCCUCCUAGUAGGAGUAGGACUCCUACUAGGAGGGGGAAAGAAGUGGGGAGGGAGAAGGAAAGGGGGGCGCCGCCCCCCCUUUCCUAGUCCAAUUCGGACCGGGGGGAGGAGGCGCGUGGCCCACCUUUGGCUGCCCCUCCCUCUCUCCACUAAGGCCCAUAUGGCCCAUUANNNNNNNNNNNNNNNNNNNNNNNNNNNNNNNNNNNNNNNNNNNNNNNNNNNNNNNNNNNNNNNNNNNNNNNNNNNNNNNNNNNNNNNNNNNNNNNNNNNNNNNNNNNNNNNNNNNNNNNNNNNNNNNNNNNNNNNNNNNNNNNNNNNNNNNNNNNNCCGGUUUUCUCCGAAAUCACCCGGAACACUUCCGGUGUCCGAAUAUAGCCAUCCAAUAUAUCAAUCUUUAUGUCUCGACCAUUUCGAGACUCCUCGUCAUGUCCGUGAUCAUAUUCGGGACUCCGAACUAACUUCGGUACAUCAAAACUCAUAAACUCAUAAUAUAACUAUCAUCGAAACCUUAAGCGUGCGGACCCUAUGGGUUCGAGAACAAUGUAGACAUGACCGAGACACGUCUCCGGUCAAUAACUAAUAGCGGAACCUGGAUGCUCAUAUUGGCUCCUACAUAUUCUAUGAAGAUCUUUAUCGGUCAGACCGCAUAACAACAUAUGUUGUUCCCUUUGUCAUCGGUAUGUUACUUGCCCGAGAUUCGAUCGUCGGUAUCUCAAUACCUAGUUCAAUAUCGUUACCGACAAGUCUCUUUACUCGUUCCGUAAUACAUCAUCUCGCAACUAACUCAUUAGUUGCAAUGCUUGCAAGGCUUAUGUGAUGUGCAUUACCGAGAGGGCCCAGAGAUACCUCUCCGACAAUAGGAGUGACAAAUCCUAAUCUCGAAAUAAGCCAACCCAACAUGUACCUUUGGAGACACCUGUCGAGUACCUUUAUAAUCACCCAUUUACAUUGUGACGUUUGGUAGCACACAAAGUGUUCCUCCGACAAACGGGAGUUGCAUAAUCUCAUAGUCAUAGGAACAUGUAUAAGUUAUGAAGAAAAGCAAUAGCAACAUACUAAACGAUCGGGUGCUAAGCUAAUGGAAUGGGUCAUGUCAAUCAGAUCAUUCACCUAAUGAUGUGAUCCCGUUAAUCAAAUAACAACUCUUUGUUCAUGGUUAGGAAACAUAACCAUCUUUGAUUAACGAGCUAGUCAAGUAGAGGCAUACUAGUGACACUCCGUUUGUCUAUGUAUUCACACAUGUAUUAUGUUUCCGGUUAAUACAAUUCUAGCAUGAAUAAUAAACAUUUAUCAUGAUAUAAGGAAAUAAAUAAUAACUUUAUUAUUGCAUCUAGGGCAUAUUUCCUUCGGUCUCCCACUUGCACUAGAGUCAAUAAUCUAGAUUACACAGUAAUGAUUCUAACACCCAUGGAGCCUUGGUGCUGAUCAUGUUUUGCUCGUGGAAGAGGCUUAGUCAACGGGUCUGCAACAUUCAGAUCCGUAUGUAUCUUUCAAAUCUCUAUGUCUCCCACCUGGACUAGAUCCCGGAUGGAAUUGAAGCGUCUCUUGAUGUGCUUGGUUCUCUUGUGAAAUCUGGAUUCCUUUGCCAAGGCAAUUGCACCAGUAUUGUCACAAAAGAUUUUCAUUGGACCCGAUGCACUAGGUAUGACACCUAGAUCGGAUAUGAACUCCUUCAUCCAGACUCCUUCAUUUGCUGCUUCCGAAGCAGCUAUGUACUCCGCUUCACAUGUAGAUCCCGCCACAACGCUUUGUUUAGAACUGCACCAACUGACAGCUCCACCGUUUAAUGUAAACACAUAUCCGGUUUGCGAUUUAGAAUCGUCCGGAUCAGUGUCAAAGCUUGCAUCAACGUAACCUUUUACGGUGAGCUCUUUGUCACCUCCAUAUAUGAGAAACAUAUCCUUAGUCCUUUUCAGGUAUUUCAGGAUGUUCUUGACCGCUGUCCAGUGAUCCACUCCUGGAUCACUUUGGUACCUCCCUGCUAGACUUAUAGCAAGGCACACAUCAGGUCUGGUACACAACAUUGCAUACAUGAUAGAGCCUAUGGCUGAAGCAUAGGGAACAUCUUUCAUUUUCUCUCUAUCUUCUGAAGUGGUCGGGCAUUGAGUCUUACUCAACUUCACACCUUGUAACACAGGCAAGAACAAUUUCUUUGCUUGAUCCAUUUUGAACUUCUUCAAAACUUUGUCAAGGUAUGUGCUUUGUGAAAGUCCAAUUAAGCGUCUUGAUCUAUCUCUAUAGAUCUUAAUGCCUAAUAUGUAAGCAACUUCACCGAGGUCUUUCAUUGAAAAACUCUUAUUCAAGUAUCCCUUUAUGCUAUCCAGAAAUUCUAUAUCAUUUCCAAUUAGUAAUAUGUCAUCCACAUAUAAUAUCAGAAAUGCUACAGAGCUCCCACCCACUUUCUUGUAAAUACAAGCUUCUCCAAAAGUCUGUAUAAAACCAAAUGCUUUGAUCACACUAUCAAAGCGUUUAUUCCAACUCCGAGAGGCUUGCACCAGUCCAUAAAUGGAUCGCUGGGGCUUGCACACUUUGUUAGCUCCCUUUGGAUCGACAAAACCUUCUGGUUGCAUCAUAUACAACUCUUCUUCCAGAAAUCCAUUCAGGAAUGCAGUUUUGACAUCCAUCUGCCAAAUUUCAUAAUCAUAAAAUGCGGCAAUCGCUAACAUGAUUUGGACAGACUUAAGCAUCGCUACGGGUGAGAAGGUCUCAUCAUAGUCAAUCCCUUGAACUUGCCGAAAACCUUUUGCGACAGGUCGAGCUUUGUAGACAGUAAUAUUACCGUCAGCGUCAGUCUUCUUCUUGAAGAUCCAUUUAUUCUCAAUUGCUUGCCGAUCAUCGGGCAAGUCAACCAAAGUCCAUACUUUGUUCUCAUACAUGGAUCCCAUCUCAGAUUUCAUGGCUUCAAGCCAUUUUGCGGAAUCUGGGCUCACCAUCGCUUCUUCAUAGUUCGUAGGUUCAUCAUGAUCUAGUAGCAUGACUUCCAGAACAGGAUUACCGUACCACGCUGGCGCGGAUCUCACUCUGGUUGAUCUACGAGGUUCAGUAGUAUCUUGUUCUGAAGUUUCAUGAUCAUCAUCAUUAGCUUCCUCACUGACUGGUGUAGGUGUCACAGAAAUAGGUUUUUGUGAUGUACUACUUUCCAAUAAGGGAGUAGGUACAGUUACUGUUGGGGGAACGCAGUAAUUUCAAAAAUUUUCCUACGCACACGCAAGAUCAUGGUGAUGCAUAGCAACGAGAGGGGAGAGUGUUGUCUACGUACCCACGCAGACCGACUGCGGAAGCGUUGACGCAACAUAGAGGAAGUAGUCGUAUGUCUUCCCGAUCCGACCGAUCCAAGCACUGUUACUCCGGCACCUCCGAGUUCUUAGCACACGUACAGCUCGAUGACGAUCCCCGGGCUCCGAUCCAGCAAAGCGUCGGGGAGGAGUUCCGUCAGCACGACGGCAUGGUGACGAUCUUGAUGUUCUACUGUCGCAGGGCUUCGCCUAAGCACCGCUACAAUAUGAUCGAGGUGGAAUAUGGUGGCAGGGGGCACCACACACGGCUAAGGAACGAUCUCAAGGAUCAACUUGUGUGUCUAGAGGUGCCCCUGCCCCCAUAUAUAAAGGAUCCAAGGGGGAGGGGGCGGCCGGCCAGGAGGAGGGUGCAGGAGGAGUCCUACUCCUACCGGGAGUAGGACUCCCCCCCAAUCCUAGUUGGAAUAGGAUUCCCCGAGGGGGAAAGAGAGAAAGGGGGGCCGGCCACCUCUCCUUGUCCUAAUAGGACUGGGGGAGGGGGGAGUGAAGGAAAUAUGCCCUAGAGGCAAUAAUAAAGUUAUUAUUUAUUUCCUUAUAUCAUGAUAAAUGUUUAUUAUUCAUGCUAGAAUUGUAUUAACCGGAAACAUAAUACAUGUGUGAAUACAUAGACAAACAGAGUGUCACUAGUAUGCCUCUACUUAACUAGCUCGUUGAUCAAAGAUGGUUAAGUUUCCUAGCCACUGACAUGGAUUGUCAUUGGAUUAACGGGAUCACAUCAUUAGGAGAAUGAUGUGAUUGACAUGACCCAUUCCGUUAGCUUAGCACACGAUCGUUUAAGUAUGUUGCUAUUGCUUUCUUCAUGACUUAUACAUGUUCCUAUGACUAUGAGAUUAUGCAACUCCCGUUUACCGGAGGAACACUUUGUGUGCUACCAAACGUCACAACGUAACUGGGUGAUUAUAAAGGUGCUCUAUAGGUGUCUCCGAAGGUACUUGUUGGGUUGGCGUAUUUCGAGAUUAGGAUUUGUCACUCCGAUUGUCGGAGAGGUAUCUCUGGACCCUCUCGGUAAUGCACAUCACAUAAGCCUUGCAAGCAUUGCAACUAAUGAGUUAGUUGUGAGAUGAUGUAUUAUGGAACGAGUAAAUAGACUUGACGGUAAUGAGAUUGAACUAGGUAUUGAAAUACCAACGAUCGAAUCUCGGGCAAGUAACAUACCGAUGACAAAAGGAACAACGUAUGUUGUUAUGCGGUCUGACCGAUAAAGAUCUUCGUAGAAUAUGUAGAAGCCAAUAUGGGCAUCCAGGUCCCGCUAUUGGUUAUUGACCGGAGACGUGUCUCGGUCAUGUCUACAUUGUUCUCGAACCCGUAGGGUCCGCAUGCUUAAGGUUACGAUGACAGUUAUAUUAUGAGUUUAUGCAUUUUGAUGUACCGAAGGUUGUUCGGAGUCCCGGAUAUGAUCACGGACAUGACGAGGAGUCUCGAAAUGGUCGAGACAUAACGAUGAUAUAUUGGAAGCCUAUGUUUGAAUAUCGGAAGUGUUCCGGGUGAAAUCGGGAUUUUACCGGAGUACCGGGAGGUUACCGGAACCCCCCCAGGAGCUAUAUGGGCCUUAGUGGGCUUUAGUGGAAAGGAGAAAGGGGCAGCCCAAGGUGGCUGUGCGCCUCCCCCCUUCCCCUAGUCCUAUUAGGACUAGGAGAGGUGGCCGCCCCCCUCUCUCUUUCCCUCCUCCGCGAAUCCUAUUCCAACUAGGAUUGGGGGGGGGGGGGAAUCCUACUCCCAGAGGGAGUAGGACUCUUCUGGCGCGCCUCCUAUGGCCGGCCAGCCUCCCCCCUCUAGUCCUUUAUAUACUGAGGCAGAGGCACCCCAGAAACACACAAGUUGAUCCACGUGAUCUAUUCCUUAGCCGUGUGCGGUGCACCCAGCCACCAUAUUCCUCGAUAAUACUGUAGCAGAGUUUAGGCGAAGCCCUGCUGCUGUAGUGCAUCAAGAUCGUCACGACGCCGUCAUGCCGACGGAACUCUUCCCCGACACUUUGCUGGAUCGGAGUUCGGGGAUUGUCAUCGAGCUGAACGUGUGCUCGAACUCGGAGGUGCCGUAGUUUCGGUACUUGAUCAGUUGGAUCGUGAAGACGUACGACUACUUCCUCUACGUUGCGUCAAUGCUUCUGCAGUCGGUCUGCGUGGGUACAUAGACAACACUCUCCCCUCUCGUUGCUAUGCAUCACAUGAUCUUGCGUGUGCGUAGGAAUUUUUUUGAAAUUACUACGAAACCCAACAGUGGUAUCAGAGCCUAGGUUAUUUAUGUUGAUGUUAUAUGCACGAGUAGAACACAAGUGAGUUGUGGGCGAUAUAAGUCAUACUGCCUACCAGCAUGUCAUACUUUGGUUCGGCGGCAUUGUUGGACGAGACGACCCGGACCAACAUUACGCUUAUGCUUACGCGAGACCGGUUCCCCCGACGUGCUUUGCACAUAGGUGGCUUGCGGGCGACAGUCUCUCCAACUUUAGUUGAACCAAGUAUGGCUAUGCCCGGUCCUUGCGAAGGUUAAAACAGAGUCUAUUUGACAAACUAUCGUUGUGGUUUUGAUGCGUAGGUGAGAUUGGUUCUUGCUUAAGCCCGUAGCAGCCACGUAAAACUUGCAACAACAAAGUAGAGGACGUCUAACUUGUUUUUGCAGGGCAUGUUGUGAUGUGAUAUGGUCAAGGCAUGAUGCUAAAUUUUAUUGUAUGAGAUGAUCAUGUUUUGUAACCGAGUUAUCGGCAACUGGCAGGAGCCAUAUGGUUGUCGCUUUAUUGUAUGCAAUGCAAUCGCGAUGUAAUGCUUUACUUUAUUACUAAGCGGUAGUGAUAGUCGUGGAAGCAUAAGAUUGGCGAGACGACAACGAUGCUAUGAUGGAGAUCAAGGUGUCGCGCCAGUGACGAUGGUGAUCAUGAUGAUGCUUCGGAGAUGGAGAUCACAAGCACAAGAUGAUGAUGGCCAUAUCAUAUCACUUAUAUUGAUUGCAUGUGAUGUUUAUCUUUUUAUGCAUCUUAUCUUGCUUUGAUUGACGGUAGCAUUAUAAGAUGAUCUCUCACUAAAUUAUCAAGAAGUGUUCUCCCUGUGUAUGCACCGUUGCCAAAGUUCGUCGUGCCCAGACACCACGUGAUGAUCGGGUGUGAUAAGCUCUACGUCCAUCUACAACGGGUGCAAGCCAGUUUUUGCACACGCAGAAUACUCAGGUUAAACUUGACGAGCCUAGCAUAUGCAGAUAUGGCCUCAGAACACGGAGACCGAAAGGUCGAGCGUGAAUCAUAUAGUAGAUAUGAUCAACAUAACGAUGUUCACCAUUGAAAACUACUCCAUCUCACGUGAUGAUCGGUUAUGGUUUAGUUGAUUUGGAUCACAUAAUCACUUAGAAGAUCGGAGGGAUGUCUAUCUAAGUGGGAGUUCUUAAGUAAUUUGAUUAACUGAACUUAAACUUAUCAUGAACUUAGUACCUGAUAGUAUCUUGCUUGUUUAUGUUGAUUGUAGAUAGAUGGCUCAUGCUGUUGUUCCGUUGAAUUUUAAUGCGUUCCUUGAGAAAGCAAAGUUGAAAGAUGAUGGUAGCAAUUAUACGGACUGGGUCCAUAACUUGAGGAUUAUCCUCAUUGCUGCCCAGAAGAAUUACGUCCUGGAAGCACCGUUGGGUGCCAGGCCUGCUGCUGGAGCAACACCAGAUGUUAUGAACGUCUGGCAGAGCAAAGCUGAUGACUACUCGAUAGUUCAGUGUGCCAUGCUUUACGGCUUAGAAUCGGGACUUCAACGACGUUUUGAACGUCAUGGAGCAUAUGAGAUGUUCCAGGAGUUGAAGUUAAUAUUUCAAGCAAAUGCCCGGAUUGAGAGAUAUGAAGUCUCCAAUAAGUUCUAUAACUGCAAGAUGGAGGAGAACAGUUCUGUCAGUGAGCAUAUACUCAAAAUGUCUGGGUAUAAUAAUCACUUGAUUCAAUUGGGAGUUAAUCUUCCGGAUGAUUGCGUCAUUGACAAAAUUCUCCAAUCACUGCCACCAAGCUACAAGAGCUUCGUGAUGAACUACAAUAUGCAAGGGAUGAACAAGACUAUUCCCGAGCUCUUCGCGAUGCUGAAAGCUGCGGAGGUAGAAAUCAAGAAGGAGCAUCAAGUGUUGAUGGUUAAGAAGACCACUAGUUUCAAGAAAAAGGGCAAAGGGAAGAAGAAGGGGAACUUCAAGAAGAACAGCAAGCAAGUUGCUACUCAGGAGAAGAAACCCAAGUCUGGACCUAAGCCUGAAACUGAGUGCUUCUACUACAAGCAGACUGGUCACUGGAAUCGGAACUGCCCCAAGUAUUUGGCGGAUAAGAAGGAUGGCAAGGUGAACAAAGGUAUAUGUGAUAUACAUGUUAUUGAUGUGUACCUUACUAGAGCUCGCAGUAGCACCAGGGUAUUUGAUACUGGUUGUGUUGCUAAUAUUUGCAACUCGAAACAGGGACUACGGAAUAAGCGGGCACUAGCAAAGGACGAGGUGACGAUGCGCGUGGGAAACGGUUCCAAAGUCGAUGUGAUCGCGGUCGGCACGCUACCUCUACAUCUACCUUCGGGAUUAAUAUUAGACCUAAAUAAUUGUUAUUUGGUGCCAGCGUUAAGCAUGAACAUUAUAUCUGGAUCUUGUUUAAUGCGAGACGGUUAUUCAUUUAAAUCAGAGAAUAAUGGUUGUUCUAUUUAUAUGAGUAAUAUCUUUUAUGGUCAUGCACUUUUGAAGAGUGGUCUAUUUUUGAUGAAUCUCGAUAGUAGUGAUACACAUAUUCAUAAUGUUGAAGCCAAAAGAUACAGAGUUGAUAAUGAAAGUGCAAAUUAUUUGUGGCACUGUCGUUUAGGUCAUAUCGGUGUAAAGCGCAUGAAGAAACUCCAUACUGAUGGACUUUUGGAACCACUUGAUUAUGAAUCACUUGGUACUUGCGAACCGUGCCUCAUGGGCAAGAUGACUAAAACACCGUUCUCUGGUACUAUGGAGAGAGCAACAGAUUUGUUGGAAAUCAUACAUACCGAUGUAUGUGGUCCGAUGAAUAUUGAGGCUCGUGGCGGAUAUCGUUAUUUUCUCACCUUCACAGAUGACUUGAGCAGAUAUGGGUAUAUCUACUUAAUGAAACAUAAAUCUGAAACAUUUGAAAAGUUCAAAGAAUUUCAGAGUGAAGUUGAAAAUCAUCGUAACAAGAAAAUAAAGUUUCUACGAUCUGAUCGGGGAGGAGAAUAUUUGAGUUACGAGUUUGGUGUACAUUUGAAAAAUUGUGGAAUAGUUUCGCAACUCACGCCACCCAGAACACCACAGCGUAAUGGUGUGUCCGAACGUCGUAAUCUUAAUUUACUAGAUAUGGUGCGAUCUAUGAUGUCUCUUACUGAUUUACCGCUAUCAUUUUGGGGUUAUGCUUUAGAGACGGCCGCAUUCACGUUAAAUAGGGCACCAUCAAAAUCCGUUGAGACGCCUUUUGAACUGUGGUUUGGCAAGAAACCAAAGUUGUCGUUUCUUAAAAUUUGGGGCUGCGAUGCUUAUGUGAAAAAGCUUCAACCUGAUAAGCUCGAACCCAAAUCGGAGAAAUGUGUCUUCAUAGGAUACCCAAAGGAGACUGUUGGGUACACCUUCUAUCACACAUCCGAAGGCAAGACAUUCGUUGCUAAGAAUGGAUCCUUUCUAGAGAAGGAGUUUCUCUCGAAAGAAGUGAGUGGGAGGAAAGUAGAACUUGACGAGGUAACUGUACCUGCUCCUUUAUUGGAAAGUAGCACAUCACAGAAAACUGUUUCUGCGACACCUACACCAAUAAGUGAGAAAGCUAAUGAUGAUGAUCAUGAAACUUCAGAUCAAGAUACUACUGAACCUCAUAGAUCAACCAGAGUAAGAUCCGCGCCAGAGUGGUACGGUAAUCCUGUUCUGGAGAUCAUGCUACUAGAUCAUGAUGAACCUACGAACUAUGAAGAAGCGAUGGUGAGCCCAGAUUCCGCAAAGUGGCUUGAAGCCAUGAAAUCUGAGAUGGGAUCCAUGUAUGAGAACAAAGUAUGGACUUUGGUUGACUUGCCUGAUGAUCGGCAAGCAAUUGAGAAUAGAUGGAUCUUCAAGAAGAAGACUGACGCUGAUGGUAAUGUUACUAUCUACAAAGCUCGACUUGUCGCAAAAGGUUUUCGACAAGUUCAAGGGGUUGACUACGAUGAGACCUUCUCACCCGUAGCGAUGCUUAAGUCUGUCCGAAUCAUGUUAGCAAUUGCCGCAUUUUAUGAUUAUGAAAUUUGGCAGAUGGAUGUCAAAACUGCAUUCCUGAAUGGAUUUCUGGAAGAAGAGUUGUAUAUGAUGCAACCGGAAGGUUUUGUCGAUCCAAAGGGAGCUAACAAAGUGUGCAAGCUCCAGCGAUCCAUUUAUGGACUGGUGCAAGCCUCUCGGAGUUGGAAUAAACAUUUUGAUAGUGUGAUCAAAGCAUUUGGUUUUAUACAGACUUUUGGAGAAGCCUGUAUUUACAAGAAAGUGAGUGGGAGCUCUGUAGCAUUUCUGAUAUUAUAUGUGGAUGACAUAUUGCUGAUUGGAAAUGAUAUAGAAUUUCUGGAUAGCAUAAAGGGAUACUAGAAUAAGAGUUUUUCGAUGAAAGACCUCGGUGAAGCUGCUUACAUAUUAGGCAUAAAGAUCUAUAGAGAUAGAUCAAGACGCUUAAUUGGACUUUCACAAAGCACAUACCUUGACAAGAUUUUGAAGAAGUUCAAAAUGGAUCAAGCAAAGAAAGGGUUCUUGCCUGUGUUACAAGGUGUGAAGUUGAGUCAGACUCAAUGCCCGACCACUGCAGAAGAUAGAGAGAAAAUGAAAGAUGUUCCCUAUGCUUCAGCCAUAGGCUCUAUCAUGUAUGCAAUGCUGUGUACCAGACCUGAUGUGUGCCUUGCUAUAAGUUUAGCAGGGAGGUCCCAAAGUAAUCCAAGAGUGGAUCACUGGACAGCGGUCAAGAACAUCCUGAAAUACCUGAAAAGGACUAAGGAUAUGUUUCUCAUGUAUGGAGGUGACAAAGAGCUCACCGUAAAAGGUUACGUUGAUGCAAGCUUUGACACUGAUCCGGACGAUUCUAAAUCGCAAACCGGAUACGUGUUUACAUUAAACAGUGGAGCUGUCAGUUGGUGCAGUUCUAAACAAAGCGUCGUAGCGGGAUCUACAUGUGAAGCGGAGUACAUAGCUGCUUCGGAAGCAGCAAACGAAGGAGUCUAGAUGAAGCAGUUCAUAUCCGAUCUAGGUGGCAUACCUAGUGCAUCGGGUCCAAUGAAAAUCUUUUGUGACAAUACUGGUGCAAUUGCCUUGGCAAAGGAAUCUAGAUUUCACAAAAGGACCAAACACAUCAAGAGACGCUUCAAUUCCAUCCGGGAUCUAGUCCAGGUGGGAGACAUAGAGAUUUGCAAGAUACAUAUGGAUCUGAAUGUUGCAGACCCGUUGACUAAGCCUCUUCCACGAGCAAAACAUGAUCAGCACCAAAGCUCCAUGGGUGUUAGAAUCAUUACAGUGUAAUCUAGAUUAUUAACUCUAGUUCAAGUGGGAGACUGAAGGAAAUAUGCCCUAGAGGCAAUAAUAAAGUUAUUAUUUAUUUCCUUAUAUCAUGAUAAAUGUUUAUUAUUCAUGCUAGAAUUGUAUUAACCAAAAACAUAAUACAUGUGUGAAUACAUAGACAAACAGAGUGUCACUAGUAUGCCUCUACUUGACUAGCUCAUUAAUCAAAGAUGGUUAUGUUUCCUAACCAUGAACAAAGAGUUGUUAUUUGAUUAACAAGGUCACAUCAUUAGUUGAAUGAUCUGAUUGACAUGACCCAUUCCAUUAGCUUAGCACCCGAUCGUUUAGUAUGUUGCUAUUGCUUUUCUUCAUGACUUAUACAUGUUCCUAUGACUAUGAGAUUAUGCAACUCCCGUUUACUGGAGGAACACUUUGGGUACUACCAAACGUCACAACGUAACUGGGUGAUUAUAAAGGAGUACUACAGGUGUCUCCAAAGGUAGAUGUUGGGUUGGCGUAUUUCGAGAUUAGGAUUUGUCACUCCGAUUGUCGGAGAGGUAUCUCUGGGCCCUCUCGGUAAUGCACAUCACAUAAUCCUUGCAAGCAUUGCAACUAAUGAGUUAGUUGUGAGAUGAUGUAUUAUGGAACGAGUAAAGAGACUUGCCGGUAACGAGAUUGAACUAGGUAUCGAAAUACCGACGAUCGAAUCUCGGGCAAGUAACAUACCGAUGACAAAAGGAACAACGUAUGUUGUUAUGCGGUUUGACCGAUAAAGAUCUUCGUAGAAUAUGUAGGAGCCAAUAUGGGCAUCCAGGUCCCGCUAUUGGUUAUUGACCGGAGACGUGUCUCGGUCAUGUCUACAUUGUUCUCGAACCCGUAGGGUCCGCACGCUUAAGGUUACGAUGACAGUUAUAUUAUGAGUUUAUGCAUUUUGAUGUACCGAAGGUUGUUCGGAGUCUUGGAUAUGAUCACGACCAUGACGAGGAGUCUCGAAAUGGUCGAGACAUAAAGAUUGAUAUAUUGGAAGCCUAUGUUUGGAUAUCGAAAGUGUUCCGGGUGAAAUCGGGAUUUUACCGGAGUACCGGGAGGUUACCGGAACCCCCCGGGAGCUAUAUGGGCCUUAGUGGGCUUUAGUGGAAAGGAGAAAGGGGCAGCCCAAGAUGGCUGUGCGCCUCCCCCCUUCCCCUAGUCCUAUUAGGACUAGGAGAGGUGGCCGGCCCCCGCUCUCUCUUUCCCCCCUCCGCGAAUCCUAUUCCAACUAGGAUUGGGGGGGGGGGGAAUCCUACUCCCAGAGGGAGUAGGACUCUCCUGGCGCGCCUCCUAUGGCCGGCCAGCCUCCCCCCUCUAGUCCUUUAUAUACUGAGGCAGAGGCACCCCAGAAACACACAAGUUGAUCCACGAGAUCUAUUCCUUAGCCGUGUGCGGUGCCCCCAGCCACCAUAUUCCUCGAUAAUACUGUAGCGGAGUUUAGGCGAAGCCCUGCUGCUGUAGUGCAUCAACAUCGUCACCACGCCGUCGUGCUGACGGAACUCUUCCCUGACACUUUGCUGGAUCGGAGUCCGGGGAUUGUCAUCGAGCUGAACGUGUGCUCGAACUCGGAGGUGCCGUAGUUUCUGUACUUGAUCGGUUGGAUCGUGAAGACGUAUGACUACUUCCUCUACGUUGCGUCAACGCUUCCGCAGUCGGUCUGCGUGGGCACGUAGACAACACUCUCCCCUCUCGUUGCUAUGCAUCACAUGAUCUUGCGUGUGCGUAGGAAUUUUUUUGAAAUUACUACGAAACCCAACAGGGAGGCGCGCGGCCCACCUUGGGCUGCCCCUUUCUCCUUUCCACUAAAGCCCACUAAGGCCCAUAUAGCUCCCGGGGGGUUCCGGUAACCUCCCGGUACUCCGGUAAAAUCUCGAUUUCACCCGGAACACUUCCGAUAUCCAAACAUAGGCUUCCAAUAUAUCAAUCUUUAUGUCUCGACCAUUUCGAGACUCCUCGUCAUGUCCGUGAUCACAUCCGGGACUCUGAACUAACUUCGGUACAUCAAAAUGCAUAAACUCAUAAUAACUGUCAUUGUAACGUUAAGCGUGCGGACCCUACGGUUCGAGAACAAUGCAGACAUGACUGAGACACAUCUCCGGUCAAUAACCAAUAGCGGGACCUGGAUGCCCAUAUUGGCUCCUACAUAUUCUACGAAGAUCUUUAUCGGUCAGACCGCAUAACAACAUACGUUGUUCCCUUUGUCAUCGGUAUGUUACUUGCCCGAGAUUCGAUCGUCGGUAUCCAAUACCUAGUUCAAUCUCGUUACCGGCAAGUCUCUUUACUCGUUCCAUAAUACAUCAUCUCACAACUAACAUAUUAGUUGUAAUGCUUGCAAGGCUUAUGUGAUGUGCAUUACCGAGAGGGCCCAGAGAUACCUCUCCGACAAUCGGAGUGACAAAACCUAAUCUCGAAAUACGCCAACCCAACAUGUACCUUUGGAGACACCUAUAGUACUCCUUUAUAAUCACCCAGUUACGUUGUGACGUUUGGUAGCACCCAAAGUGUUCCUCCGGUAAACGGGAGUUGCAUAAUCUCAUAGUUAUAGGAACAUGUAUAACUCAUGAAGAAAGCAAUAGCAACAUACUAAACGAUCGAGUGCUAAGCUAAUGGAAUGGGUCAUGUCAAUCAGAUCAUUCACUUAAUGAUGUGAUCCCGUUAAUCAAAUAACAACUCCUUGUUUAUGGUUAGGAAACAUAACCAUCUUUGAUUAACGAGCUAGUCAAGUAGAGGUAUACUAGUGACACUCUGUUUGUCUAUGUAUUCACACAUGUAUUAUGUUUCCGGUUAAUACAAUUCUAGCAUGAAUAAUAAACAUUUAUCAUGAUAUAAGGAAAUAAAUAAUAACUUUAUUAUUGCCUCUAGGGCAUAUUUCCUUCAGUCUCCCACUUGCACUAGAGUCAAUAAUCUAGUUCACAUCGCCAUGUGAUUCAACACUAAGAGUUCACAUCACCAUGUGAUUAACACCCAUAGUUCACAUCGUCAUGUGACCUAUACCCAAACGGUUUACUAGAGUCAAUAAUCUAGUUCACAUCAUUUAUGUGAUUAACACCCAAAGAGUACUAAGGUGUGAUCAUGUUUUGCUUGUGAGAUAAUUUUAGUCAACGGGUCUGUCACAUUCAGAUCCGUAAGUAUUUUGCGAAUUUCUAUGUCAACAAUGCUCUGCAUGGAGCUACUCUAGCUUAUUGCUCCCACUUUCAAUAUGUAUCUAGAUCAAGACUUAGAGUCAUCCAGAUCGGUGCCAAAACUUGAAUCGAUGUAACUCUUUACGACGAACCUUUUGUCACCUCCAUAAUCGAGAAACAUAUCCUUAUUCCACUAAGGAUAACUUUGACCGCUGUCCAGUGAUCUACUCCUAGAUCACCAUUGUACUCCCUUGCUUAACUCAGUGUAGGGUAUAUAAUAGAUCUGGUACACAUCAUGGCAUACUUUAUAGAACCUAUGGCUGAGGCAUAGGGAAUGACUUUCAUUCUCUUUCUAUCUUCUGCCGUGGUCGGGCUUUGAGUCUUACUCAACUUCACACCUUGUAACACAGGCAAGAAACCUUUUCUUUGACUGUUCCAUUUUGAACUACUUCAAAAUCUUGUCAAGGUAUGUAAUCAUUGAAAAAACUUAUCAAGUGUCUUGAUCUAUCUCUAUAGAUCUUGAUACUCAAUAUGUAAGCAGCUUCACCGAGGUCUUUCUUUGAAAAACUCCUUUCAAACACUCCUUUAUGCUUUGCAGAAUAAUUCUACAUUAUUUCUGAUCAACAAUAUGUCAUCCACAUAUACUUAUCAGAAAUGUUGUAGUGCUCCCACUCACUUUCUUGUAAAUACAGGCUUCACCGCAAGUCUGUAUAAAACUAUAUGCUUUGAUCAACUUAUCAAAGCGUAUAUUCCAACUCCGAGAUUCUUGCACCAGUCCAUAGAUGGAUCGCUGGAGCUUGCAUAUUUAGUUAACACCUUUAGGAUCGACAAAACCUUCUAGUUGCAUCGCAUACAACUCUUCUUUAGUAAAUCCAUUAAGAAAUGCAGUUUUGUUUAUCCAUUUGCAAGAUUUCAUAAAAUGCGGCAAUUGCUAACAUGAUUCGGACAGACAUAAGCAUAGAUACGAGUGAGAAAAUCUCAUCGUAGUGAACACCUUGAACUUGUCGAAAACCUUUUGCGACAAUUCUAGCUUUGUAGAUAGUAACACUACUAUCAGCGUCCGUCUUCCUCUUGAAGAUUCAUUUAUUUUCUAUGGCUUGCCGAUCAUCGGGCAAGUCAACCAAAGUCCAUACUUUGUUCUCAUACAUGGAUCGUAUCUCAGAUUUCAUGGCCUCAAACCAUUUCGCGGAAUCUGGGCUCACCAUCGCUUCUUCAUAGUUCGUAGGUUCAUCAUGAUCUAGUAGCAUGACUUCCAAAACUGGAUUACCGUACCACUCUGGCGUGGAUCUCACUCUGGUUGAUCUACGAGGUUUAGUAGUAUCUUGUUAUGAAGUUUCAUGAUCAUUAUCAGUAACUUCCUCACUUAUUGGUGUAGGUGUCGCAGAAACAGUUUUCUGUGAUGUACUACUUUCUAACAAGGGAGCAGUUACAGUUACCUCAUCAAGUUCUACUUUCCUCCCACUCACUUCUUUCGAGAGAAACUCCUUCUCCAGAAAGUUUCCGAAUUUAGCAACAAAAGUCUUGCCUUCGGAUUUGUGAUAGAAGGUGUAUCCAAUAGUUUCCUUUGGAUAUCCUAUGAAGACACAUUUCUACGAUUUGGGUUCGAGCUUAUCAGGUUGAAGCUUUUUCACAUAAGCAUCGCAGCCCCAAACUUUAAGAAAUGACAACUUCGGUUUCUUGCCAAACCACAGUUCAUAAGGCGUCGUCUUAAUGGAUUUUGAUGGUGCCCUAUUUAACGUGAAUGCGGCCGUCUCUAGAGCGUAUCCCCAAAACGAUAGCGGUAAAUCAGUAAGAGACAUCAUAGAUCGCACCAUAUCUAGUAAAGUACGAUUACGACGUUCGGACACACCAUUACGCUGUGGUGUUCCGGGUGGCGUGAGUUGCGAAACUAUUCCACAAUUUUUCAAAUGUACACCAAACUCGUAACUCAAAUAUUCUCCUCCACGAUCAGAUCGUAGAAACUUUAUUUUCUUGUAACGAUGAUUUUCAACUUCACUCUGAAAUUCUUUGAACUUUUCAAAUGUUUCAGACUUAUGUUUCAUUAAGUAGAUAUACCCGUAUCUGCUUAAAUCAUCUGUGAAGGUGAGAAAAUAACGAUAUCCGCCACGAGCUUCAAUAUUCAUCGGACCACAUGCAUCUGUAUGUAUGAUUUCCAACAAAUCUGUUGCUCUCUCCAUAGUACCGGAGAACGGUGUUUUAGUCAUCUUGCCCAUGAGGCACGGUUCGCAAGUACCAAGCGAUUCAUAAUCAAGUGGUUCCAAAAGCCCAUCAGUAUGGAGUUUCUUCAUGCGCUUUACACCGAUAUGACCUAAACAGCAGUGCCACAAAUAAGUUGCACUAUCAUUAUCAACUCUGCAUCUUUUGGCUUCAACAUUAUGAAUAUGUGUAUUACUACUAUCGAGAUUCAAUAAGAAUAGACCACUCUUCAAGGGUGCAUGACCAUAAAAGAUAUUACUCAUAUAAAUAGAACAACCAUUAUUCUCUGAUUUAAAUGAAUAACCGUCUCACAUUAAACAAGAUCCAGAUAUAAUGUUCAUGCUCAAUGCUAGCACCGAAUAACAAUUAUUUAGGUCUAAUACUAAUCCCGAAGGUAGAUGUAGAGGUAGCGUGCCGACCACGAUCACAUCGACUUUGGAACCGUUUCCCACGCGCAUCGUCACCUCGUCCUUAGCCAAUCUUCGCUUAAUCCGUAGUCCCUGUUUCGAGUUGCAAAUAUUAGCAACAGAACCAGUAUCAAAUACCCAGGUGCUACUGCGAGCAUUAGUAAGGUACACAUCAAUAACAUGUAUAUCACAUAUACCUUUGUUCACCUUGCCAUCCUUCUUAUCCGCCAAAUACUUGGGGCAGUUCCGCUUCCAGUGGCCAGUCUGCUUGCAGUAGAAGCACUCAGUUUCAGGCUUAGGUCCAGACUUGGGUUUCUUCUCUUGAGCAGCAACUUGCUUGCUGUUCUUUUUGAAGUUCCCCUUCUUCUUCCCUUUGCCCUUUUUCUUGAAACUAGUGGUCUUGUUGACCAUCAACACUUGAUGCUCCUUUUUGAUUUCUACCUCCGCAGCUUUCAGCAUUGCGAAGAGCUCGGGAAUAGUCUUGUUCAUCCCUUGCAUAUUAUAGUUCAUCACGAAGCUCUUGUAGCUUGGUGGCAGUGAUUGGAGAAUUCUGUCAAUGACGCAAUCAUCUGGAAGAUUAACUCCCAUCUGAAUCAAGUGAUUAUUAUACCCAGACAUUUUGAGUAUAUGCUCACUGACAGAACUGUUCUCCUCCAUCUUGCAGCUAUAGAACUUAUUGGAGACUUCAUAUCACUUAAUUCGGGCAUUUGCUUGAAAUAUUAACUUCAACUCCUGAAACAUCUCAUAUGCUCCAUGACGUUCAAAACGUCGUUGAAGUCCCGAUUCUAAGCCGUAAAGCAUGGCACACUGAACUAUCGAGUAGUCAUCAGCUUUGCUCUGCCAGACGUUCAUAACAUCUGGUAUUGCUCCAGCAGCAGGCCUGGCACCCAGCGGUGCUUCCAGGACGUAAUUCUUCUGUGCAGCAAUGAGGAUAAUCCUCAAGUUACGGACCCAGUCCGUGUAAUUGCUACCAUCAUCUUUCAACUUUGCUUUCUCAAGGAACGCAUUAAAAUUCAACGGAACAACAGCACGAGCCAUCUAUCUACAAUCAACAUAAACAAGCAAGAUACUAUCAGGGACUAAGUUCAUGAUAAAUUUAAGUUCAAUUAAUCAUAUUACUUAAGAACUCCCACUUAGAUAGACAUCCCUCUAAUCCUCUAAGUGAUCACGUGAUCCAAAUCAACUAAACCAUGUCCGAUCAUCACGUGAGAUGGAGUAGUUCCAUUGGUGAACAUUACUAUGUUGAUCAUAUCUACUAUAUGAUUCACGCUCGACCUUUCGGUCUUCGUGUUCCGAGGCCAUAUCUGUAUAUGCUUGGCUUGUCAAGUAUAACCUGAGUAUUCCGCGUGUGCAACUGUUUUGCACCCGUUGUGUUUGAACGUAGAGCCUAUCACACCCGAUCAUCACGUGGUGUCUCAACACGAAGAACUUUCGCAACGGUGCAUACUCAGGGAGAACACUUCUUGAUAAUUUAGUGAGAGAUCAUCUUAUAAUGCUACCGUCAAUCAAAGCAAGAUAAGAUGCAUAAAAGAUAAACAUCACAUGCAAUCAAUAUAAGUGAUAUGAUAUGGCAAACAUCAUCUUGUGCCUGUGAUCUCCAUCUCUGAAGCACCGUCAUGAUCACCAUCGUCAUCGGCGCGACACCUUGAUCUCCAUCGUAGCAUCGUUGUCGUCUUGCCAAUCUUAUGCUUCCACGACCAUCGCUACCACUUAGUGAUAAAGUAAAGCAUUACAUCGCGAUUGCAUUGCAUACAAUAAAGUGACAACCAUAUGGCUCCUGCCAGUUGCCGAUAACUCGGUUACAAAACAUGAUCAUCUCAUACAAUAAAAUUCAGCAUCAUGCCUUGACCAUAUCACAUCACAACAUGCCCUGCAAAAACAAGUUAGACGUCCUCUACUUUGUUGUUGCAAGUUUUACGUGGCUACUACGGGCUUAAGCAAGAACCAAUCUCACCUACGCAUCAAAACCACAACGAUAGUUUGUCAAAUAGACUCCGUUUUAACCUUCGCAAGGACCGGGCGUAGCCACACUUGGUUCAACUAAAGUUGGAGAGACUGUCGCCCGCAAGCCACCUAUGUGCAAAGCACGUCGGGAGAACCAGUCUCGCGUAAGCGUACGCGUAAUGUCGGUCCGGUUCGUCUCGUCCAACAAUACCGCCGAACCAAAGUAUGACAUGCUGGUAGGCAGUAUGACUUAUAUCGCCCACAACUCACUUGUGUUCUACUCGUGCAUAUAACAUCAAACCAUAAAACCUAGGCUUGGAUGCCACUGUUGGGGAACGCAGUAAUUUCAAAAAAUUUCCUACGCACACGCAAGAUCAUGGUGAUGCAUAGCAACGAGAGGGGAGAGUGUUGUCUACGUACCCACGCAGACCGACUGCGGAAGUGUUGACGCAACGUAGAGGAAGUAGUCGUACGUCUUCCCGAUCCGACCGAUCCAAGCACCGUUACUCCGGCACCUCCGAGUUCUUAGCACACGUACAAAUCGAUGACGAUCCCCGGGCUCCGAUCCAGCAAAGCAUCGGGGAGGAGUUCCGUCAGCACGACGGUGUGGUGACGAUCUUGAUGUUCUACUAUCGCAGGGCUUCGCCUAAGCACCGCUACAAUAUGAUCGAGGUGGAAUAUGGUGGCAGGGGGCACCGCACACGGCUAAGGAACGAUCUCAAGGAUCAACUUGUGUGUCUAGAGGUGCCCCCUACCCCCGUAUAUAAAGGAUCCAAGGGGGAGGGGGCGGCCGGCCAGGAGGAGGGCGCAGGAGGAGUCCUACUCCUACCGGGAGUAGGACUCCCCCCCAAUCCUAGUUGGAAUAGGAUUCCCCGAGGGGGAAAGAGAGAGAGGGGGGCCGGCCACCUCUCCUUGUCCUAAUAGGACUAGGGGAGGGGGAGGCGCGCGGCCCACCUUGGGCUGCCCCUUUCUCCUUUCCACUAAAGCCCACUAAGGCCCAUAUAGCUCCCGGGGGGUUCCGGUAACCUCCCGGUACUCCGGUAAAAUCUCAAUUUCACCCGGAACACUUCCGAUAUCCAAACAUAGGCUUCCAAUAUAUCAAUCUUUAGGUCUCGACCAUUUCGAGACUCAUCGUCAUGUCCGUGAUCACAUCCGGGACUCCGAACUAACUUCGGUACAUCAAAAUGCAUAAACUCAUAAUAACUGUCAUCGUAACAUUAAGCGUGCGGACCCUACGGUUCGAGAACAAUGCAGACAUGACUGAGACACAUCUCCGGUCAAUAACCAAUAGCGGGACCUGGAUGCCCAUAUUGGCUCCUACAUAUUCUACGAAGAUCUUUAUCGGUCAGACCGCAUAACAACAUACGUUGUUCCCUUUGUCAUCGGUAUGUUACUUGCCCGAGAUUCGAUCGUCGGUAUCCAAUACCUAGUUCAAUCUCGUUACCGGCAAGUCUCUUUACUCGUUCCAUAAUACAUCAUCUCAAAACUAACAUAUUAGUUGUAAUGCUUGCAAGGCUUAUGUGAUGUGCAUUACCGAGAGGGCCCAGAGAUACCUCUCCGACAAUCGGAGUGACAAAACCUAAUCUCGAAAUACGCCAACCCAACAUGUACCUUUGGAGACACCUGUAGUACUCCUUUAUAAUCACCCAGUUACGUUGUGAUGUUUGGUAGCACCCAAAGUGUUCCUCUGGUAAACGGGAGUUGCAUAAUCUCAUAGUUAUAGGAACAUGUAUAAGUCAUGAAGAAAGCAAUAGCAACAUACUAAACGAUCGGGUGCUAAGCUAAUGGAAUGUGUCAUGUCAAUCAGAUCAUUCACUUAAUGAUGUGAUCCUGUUAAUCAAAUAACAACUCCUUGUUUAUGGUUAGGAAACAUAACCAUCUUUGAUUAACGAGCUAGUCAAGUAGAGGCAUACUAGUGACACUUUGUUUGUCUAUGUAUUCACACAUGUAUUAUGUUUCCGGUUAAUACAAUUCUAGCAUGAAUAAUAAAAAUUUAUCAUGAUAUAAGGAAAUAAAUAAUAACUUUAUUAUUGCCUCUAGGGCAUAUUUCCUUCAGUUACCUCGUCAAGUUCUACUUUCCUCCCACUCACUUCUUUCGAGAGAAACUCCUUCUCCAGAAAGUUUCCAAAUUUAGCAACAAAAGUCGUGCCUUCGGAUCUGUGAUAGAAGGUGUAUCCAAUAGUUUCCUUUGGAUAUCCUAUGAAGACACAUUUCUCCGAUUUGGGUUCGAGCUUAUCAGGUUGAAGCUUUUUCACAUAAGCAUCGCAGCCCCAAACUUUCAGAAACGACAACUUUGGUUUCUUGCCAAACCACAAUUCAUAAGGCGUCGUCUCAAUGGAUUUUGAUGGUGCCCUAUUUAACGUGAAUGCGGCCGUCUCUAGAGCGUAUCCCCAAAACGAUAGCGGUAAAUCAGUAAGAGACAUCAUAGAUCGCACCAUAUCUAGUAAAGUAUGAUUACGACGUUCGGACACACCAUUACGCUGUGAUGUUCCGGGUGGCGUGAGUUGCGAAACUAUUCCACAAUUUUUCAAAUGUACACCAAACUCAUAACUCAAAUAUUCUCCUCCACGAUCAGAUCGUAGGAAUUUUAUUUUCUUGUUACGAUGAUUUUCAACUUCACUCUGAAAUUCUUUGAACUUUUCAAAUGUUUCAGACUUGUGUUUCAUUAAGUAGAUAUACCCAUAUCUGCUUAAGUCAUCUGUGAAGGUGAGAAGAUAACGAUAUCCGCCACGAGCCUCAACGUUCAUUGGACCACAUACAUAUGUAUGUAUGAUUUCCAACAAAUUUGUUGCUCUCUCCAUAGUACCGGAGAACGGUGUUUUAGUCAUCUUACCCAUAAGGCACGGUUUGCAAGUACCAAGUGAUUCAUAAUCAAGUGGUUCCAAAAGCCCAUCAGUAUGGAGUUUCUUCAUGCGCUUUAUACCGAUAUGACCCAAACGACAGUGCCACAAAUAAGUUGCACUAUCAUUAUCAACUCUGCAUCUUUUGGUUUCAACACUAUGAAUAUGUGUGUCACUACUAUCGAGAUUCAAUAAAAAUAGACCACUCUUUAAGGGUGCAUGACCAUAAAAGAUAUUACUCAUAUAAAUAGAACAACCAUUAUUCUCAGAUUUAAAUGAAUAACCGUCUCGCAUCAAACAAGAUCCAGAUAUAAUGUUCAUGCUUAACGCUGGCACCAAAUAACAAUUAUUUAGGUCUAAUAUUAAUCCCGAAGGUAGAUGUAGAGGUAGCGUGCCGACUGCGAUCACAUCGACUUUGGAACCGUUUCCCACGCGCAUCGUCACCUCAUCCUUAGCCAAUCUUCGCUUAAUCCAUAGUCCCUAUUUCGAGUUGCAAAUAUUAGCAACAAAACCAGUAUCAAAUACCCAGGUGCUACUGCGAGCAUUAGUAAGGUACACAUCAAUAACAUGUAUAUCACAUAUACCUUUGUUCACCUUGCCAUCCUUCUUAUCCGCCAAAUACUUGGGGCAGUUCCGCUUCCAGUGACCAGUCUGCUUGUAGUAGAAGCACUCAGUUUCAGGCUUAGGUCCAGGUUUGAGUUUCUUCUCUUGAGUAGCAACUUGCUUGCUGUUCUUUUUGAAGUUCCCCUUCUUCUUCCCUUUGCCCUUUUUCUUGAAACUAGUGGUCUUGUUGACCAUCAACACUUGAUGCUCCUUCUUGAUUUCUACCUCCGCAACUUUCAGCAUUGCGAAGAGCUCGGGAAUAGUCUUAUUCAUCCCUUGCAUAUUAUAGUUCAUCACGAAGCUCUUGUAGCUUGGUGGCAGUGAUUGGAGAAUUCUGUCAAUGACACAAUCAUCUGGAAGAUUAACUCCCAAUUGAAUCAAGUGAUUAUUAUACCCAGACAUUUUGAGUAUAUGCUCACUGACAGAACUGUUCUCCUCCAUCUUGCAGAUAUAGAACUUAUUGGAGACUUCAUAUCUCUCAAUCCGGGCAUUUGCUUGAAAUAUUAACAUCAACUCCUGGAACAUCUCAUAUGCUCCAUGACGUUCAAAACGUCGUUGAAGUCCCAAUUCUAAGCCGUAAAGCAUGUCACACUGAACUAUCGAGUAGUCAUCAGCUUUGCUCUGCCAGAUGUUCAUAACAUCUGGUGUUGCUCCAGCAGCAGGCCUGGCACCCAGCGGUGCUUCCAGGACGUAAUUCUUCUAUGCAGCAAUGAGGAUAAUCCUCAAGUUACGGACCCAGUCCGUGUAAUUGCUACCAUCAUCUUUCAACUUUGCUUUCUCAAGGAACGCAUUAAAAUUCAACAGAACAACAACACGAGCCAUCUAUCUACAAUCAAGUAUAAACAAGCAAGAUACUAUCAGGUACUAAGUUUCAUGAUAAAUUUAGGUUCAAUUAGUUUACUUAAAGAACUCUCACUUAGAUAGACAUCCCUCUAAUCCUCUAAGUGAUUACGUGAUCCAAAUCAACUAAACCAUGUCCGAUCAUCACGUGAGAUGGAGUAGUUUCAUUGGUGAACAUCAUUAUGUUGAUCAUAUCUACUAUAUGAUUCACGCUCGACCUUUCGGUCUCCGUGUUCCGAGGCCAUAUCUGUAUAUGCUUGGCUCGUCAAGUAUAACCUGAGUAUUCCGCGUGUGCAACUGUUUUGCACCCGAUGUAUUUGAACGUAGAGCCUAUCACACCCGAUCAUCACGUGGUGUCUCAACACGAAGAACUUUCGCAACGGUGCAUACUCAGGGAGAACACUUCUUGAUAAUUAGUGAGAGAUCAUCUUAUAAUGCUACCGUCAAUCAAAGCAAGAUAAGAUGCAUAAAAGAUAAACAUCACAUGCAAUCAAUAUAAGUGAUAUGAUAUGGCCAUCAUCAUCUUGUGCUUGUGAUCUCCAUCUUCGAAGCACCGCCGUGAUCACCAUCGUCACCGGCGCGACACCUUGAUCUCCAUCGUAGCAUCGUUGUCGUCUCGCCAAUCUUAUGCUUCCACGACUAUCGCUACCGCUUAGUGAUAAAGUAAAGCAUUACAGCGUGAUUGCAUUGCAUACAAUAAAGCGACAACCAUAUGGCUCCUGCCAGUUGCCGAUAACUCGGUUACAAAAGAUGAUCAUCUCAUACAAUAAAAUUUAGCAUCAUGUCUUGACCAUAUCACAUCACAACAUGCCCUGCAAAAACAAGUUAGACGUCCUCUACUUUGUUGUUGCAAGUUUUACGUGGCUGCUACGGGCUUAAGCAAGAACCAAUCUUACCUACGCAUCAAAACCACAACGAUAGUUUGUCAAGUUGGUGUUGUUUUAACCUUCGCAAGGACCGGGCGUAGCCACACUCGGUUCAACUAAAGUUGGAGAAACUGUCAUUCGCAAGCCACUUAUGUGCAAAGCACGUCGGGAGAACAGGUCUCGCGUAAGCAUACGCGUAAUGUCGGUCCGGGCCGCUUCGUCCAACAAUACCGCCGAACCAAAGUAUGACAUGCUGGUAAGCAGUAUGACUUAUAUCGCCCACAACUCACUUGUGUUCUACUCGUGCAUAUAACAUCAACAUAUAAAACCUAGGCUCGGAUGCCACUGUUGGGGAACGUAGUAAUUUCAAAAAAUUUCCUACGCACACGCAAGAUCAUGGUGAUGCAUAGCAACGAGAGGGGAGAGUGUGAUCUACGUACCCUUGUAGACUGACAGCAGAAGCGUUAGCACAACGCGGUUGGUGUAGUCGUACGUCUUCACGGCCCGACCGAUCAAGCACCGAAACUACGGCACCUCCGAGUUUUAGCACACGUUCAGCUCGAUGACGAUCCCCGGACUCCGGUCCAGCAAAGUGUCGGGGAAGAGUUCCGUCAGCACAACGGCGUGGUGACGAUCUUGAUGUACUAUCGUCGCAGGGCUUCGCCUAAGCAUCGCUACAAUGUCAUCGAGGAUUAUGGUGGAAGGGGGCACCGCACACGGCUAAGAAUAUGAUCACGUGGAUCAACUUGUGUGUCUAGGGGUGCCCCCUGCCCCCGUAUAUAAAGGAUCAAGGGGAGGAGGCCGGCCGGCCCCUAUGGCGCGCCAAGGAGGAAUCCUCCUCCUAGUAGGAGUAGGACUCCUACUAGGAGGGGGAAAGAAGUGGGGAGGAAGAAGGAAAGGGGGGCGCCGCCCCCCUUUCCUAGUCCAAUUCGGACCAGGGGGGAGGAGGCGCGCGGCCCACCUUUGGCUGCCCCUCUCUCUCUCCACUAAGGCCCAUAUGGCCCAUUACUUCUCCCGGGGGGUUCCGGUAACCCUCCGGCUCUCCGGUUUUCUCCGAAAUCACCCGGAACACUUCCGGUGUCCGAAUAUAGCCGUCCAAUAUAUCAAUCUUUAUGUCUCGACCAUUUCAAGACUCCUCGUCAUGUCCGUGAUCACAUCCGAUACUCCGAACUAACUUCGGUACAUCAAAACUCAUAAACUCACAAUAUAACUAUCAUCGAAACCUUAAGCGUGCGGACCCUACGGGUUCGAGAACAAUGUAGACAUGACCGAGACACGUCUCCGAUCAAUAACCAAUAGCGGAACCUGGAUGCUCAUAUUGGCUCCUACAUAUUCUACGAAGAUCUUUAUCGGUCAGACCGCAUAACAACAUACGUUGUUCCCUUUGUCAUCGGUAUGUUACUUGCCCGAGAUUCGAUCGUCGGUAUCUCAAUACCUAGUUCAAUCUCGUUACCGGCAAGUCUCUUUACUCGUUCCGUAAUACAUCAUCUCGCAACUAACUCAUUAGUUGCAAUGCUUGCAAGGCUUAUGUGAUGUGCAUUACCGAGAGGGCCCAGAGAUACCUCUCCGACAAUCGGAGUGACAAAUCGUAAUCUCGAAAUACGCCAACCCAACAUCUACCUUUGGAGACACCUGUAGAGUACCUUUAUAAUCACCCAUUUACGUUGUGACGUUUGGUAGCACACAAAGUGUUCCUCCGGCAAAUGGGAGUUGCAUAAUCUCAUAGUCAUAGGAACAUGUAUAAGUUAUGAAGGAAGCAAUAGCAACAUACUAAACGAUCGGGUGCUAAGCUAAUGGAAUGGGUCAUGUCAAUCAGAUCAUUCACCUAAUGAUGUGAUCCCGUUAAUCAAAUAACAACUCUUUGUUCAUGGUUAGGAAACAUAACCAUUUUUGAUUAACGAGCUAGUCAAGUAGAGGCAUACUAGUGACACUCGGUUUGUCUAUGUAUUCACACAUGUAUUAUGUUUCUAGUUAAUACAAUUCUAGCAUGAAUAAUAAACAUUUAUCAUGAUAUAAGGAAAUAAAUAAUAACUUUAUUAUUGCCUCUAGGGCAUAUUUCCUUCAUGUGGCUCAUAAGAUCUGUUGACAGUUGGGUCUCAGUGAGUCAAAAUUGUCGUUGACGAGCCUAAGACAACGAGGUAGGCCCUGGAAUGUCGGUAAUAAUGCUUUUCUUUUGAGAUUUUUCAAUGUUGCGUUUUUCUCUGGCAUGCUACAAUCCUGUGUUUAUUUUUAAACACACACAUGCGGCAUGUGACUAUGACUUUGAGCUUCAAUUACAAAGGUUGGGUUCGUGCUACACAGUUGUUUGUAAGGUUGUGGCAUGAGUUGUUUUUUGUGUUGCAUACGUUGCGAUCAAUUCUCUCAAAGAUCAAUUGGAACUAGCGGUGAUUUUGUUACACACUCCAAUGUGUUUGAAAUAUUGCUAGGUGUUAGUAAUUUUGCAUGUCUAUUCACUCUGCAAUGAAAAAAAAUAUUUAUAAUAAUUACAAAAAGGCCUUGUUUUAGAGGAACCACGAAAAGAAGCCUACCGGCUGAUGUGAAUAUCCUAUUUAGUGCUAAAGGCGCCGAGUAAUCGAUAUUCGUACAAAACGCACACCCUAUUGUGUUUUUCCUGUUUACUGAACCUUCUGGAAAGUUCUGCCUGUCUUUUUUACUUUUCCUUUUCUUGUUUUUAAUAUCUUGUUCAUUUCAUAUAUCAUCGAUAACGACAAAGUACUGUCAUUCAAUAUUAUUCAUUUUAAGCAUUGCCGUAAGUGUGAUGACCGACACUAGCAAUUCAUUUGAUAUAUGCAAGCAAAUACAUAAUUGUUUCCUACUUUAAUUUUGUAGUAAUUGUUCUCUUGCAUCAAUCAAGCUUGUGGCUUGAUGAGGAGAGGGUCCGCGUCUUGGCAGAGCGUUUUAACGUGUUGCGUGUGUCAUGUCUGUGUUUUCGGGCUGAUGUGUUUGCUUUUCGGUUGAGUUUUAUGCGCAGAGCAAAACUAUCUUCUAAUUCUUUGGAGAUAUAGUUUACCUAACAGGUGCCUUUUCUGAUUUCUCAAAGUUCCGUCUUACUUCACCUUUCAGCUGUUGAGUUUUCUUUGUGCCUAUAUUGUGCUUUGCCCCCCCUCAAACUAUGGUUAUUCUUUUUUGUUGGACACCCACUGAUUCUUCCAUGUUUGUCAUAGGCAGGGGCGUGUGCAGAGCACCACUGAUUCUUCCAUGUUUGUCAUAGGCAGGGGAUCGCCUGUUGUCGUUGCUCAACACGCGCCGUUGUAGUUGGAUGCACCUUGCUUAUUGACCUGUGCUGGGAGGUCCUUCCAUCCGGGCAUCCGGCACGGUUCUCCACCUACGACCGAUGGAGGGCAAGCUCCUGUUCAUCCUCAGAGCUCCAAGAAUGUAGAGACCGGUGAAUCACUGAUGAAAAACCGGAUUUUUGAGAGAUUCUUCCAGUCUUCUUAGAUCUGGAGCUGGGGGAGUGAGAGUGUGAUCACCGGACUAUAUCUCACCAGUACCCAUCUGUCUCGCUUCUAGUGAUCGCUAGAUGGGCUGACCCAAUAUCAGCUUUUCUGAAGUGGUUUUAGGAAGGUUUCAUGACCUGUUUGGACAGGUUUUAGAAACUACUAUGUUUUUUUACCUUUUCCACUUUUCUGUGUUUCUACAUCAGUUUUUUUCUCUAAACGUCUACUUUUUCAGUACAGUGUACAUUUUUUAUAUUUUAUAAACAUUUUCUGAAAAAUGCCACGAACAUAUUUUGGAAACAUGUGAACAUAUUUUAAAAAUGUCACAUACAUUUUUUAAUUACAACGACAUUUUUCUACAUUGUAUAAAUAUUUUUAGAAACCAUCGUGAACAUUCUUUUGAAAAAUGUGACCAUUUUUAAAUUUCAUGACUCAUGCACAUUGUUUUGAAUGAUAUCAACAUUUUUUAAAAGUUUCGUGGACGUUCCUUUUACACUGCAUGAACAUUUUUUAAAUGUGCGGUGAACAUUUAUAAAAAUUAAGUAAAUUAAAUUUGUGGAAUAUUUAUAUUUAUAAAUAUAAAUAAAAGUAAAAAAUAAAAUCAAAAAUAAAUAAAAGAACCUACAAAACAAACCUAGACCGUCCUAUUGGGUUGGCCCUCUUUAGCCUCGCUUGAGGCGAGGCUAGCAUCCAACUCGUUUGAGGCGAUGUAUAGACGCGCCCGAGCGAAAGAGCUAACUAACAGUUACCCCUUUGGGGGCUCCCACAAGGGUCACUUUUAUUGCGUGAGAGCGGGUCAAGUGGUACGCCCAACCGCCACCACAUGCCGCAUGUUGGACGCUCCCACUGGCUUUUGGUCUUCUUAUUUUUCUGUAUGUGUUUUCAAGUCUUUAGAUGAUUUUUUUCUUCUUUUUUUGACUUUUCGGUUUUGCCUGGUUUUCCCUAAGUUCAGAGGGAAUUUUUGUUUUUUGGUUUUUCCUGGCUGAUGAUAGACUAGCUGUCCCCAGUGGCACAAGUUGGUUCCAUAACCAAAUUUCCUAGUCCAAAGAUUCGGUUCCGAAAAUGAAGAUCAAAAGGUUCCAAAGACUUAGUGUUUUCUGCUUCAUCACCCCCAUAUAAUGCGAAGCCAGGGUAAAAUCUAGACCGGCUCAAUAGGAUCAACAAGACCACACAUUGUAACCACAUUGUUCAUACAAGAGAGAAUACCCAGCAGGUGUAGGGUGUUACGCCUAGAAUGGGGGUCCGAACCUGGUUAAAAUCUCUAUCAUGUGAAAUUCCGCACCUUGAUCAACUAUAUGUGUAUUGCCUUCACAAAAUUCCAACUCAUGAGAAUUGCCGCGCAAUCCCCAGGACAUGGGGUAAACCCAUGAGCGGAGAAAAUAUGAAAACUUCGGUUGUGGGGCAGUAGAUCUGUAAUGUUCUAAUGGAUCCCAAAUUCGAGCUCAAACCAGGGAGUUAAUCAUGACAUCAAACAAAUAGAUUAUGUGACUCAUAAGAUCUGUUGACAGUAGGUCUCAGCGAAUCAAAAUUAUCAUUGACGAGCACAAGACAAUGAGGUAGGCCCUGGAAUGUCGAUAAUAAUGUGUUUUUUACACUUUUUCAAUAUUACAUUUUUCUUUGACAUGCUACAAGUCUGUGUUUAUUUUUAUACAUACACACAUGCGGCAUAUGACUGUGACUUUGAGCUUCAAUUACAAAGGAUGGAUUCAUGCUACAAAGUUGUUGGUAAUGUUGUGGCAUGAGUUGGUUUUUGUGUUGCACACGUUGCGAUCAAUUCUCUCAAAGAUCAAUUGGAACUAGCAGUGGUUUGUUAAACACUUCAUCGUGUUUGAAAUAUUGCUAGGUGUUAGUAAUUUUGCACGUCUAUUCACUCUGCCAUGAAAAAAUAUUUAUAAGAAUUACAAAAAGGCCUUGUUUUAGAGGAACCACGGAAAGAAGCCUACCAGUUGAUGUGAAUAUCCUAUUUAGUGCUAAAGGCACUGAGUAAUUCGACAUCCGUACAAAUGCGCACCAUAGAAGGUAACGGGUCGGCCCAAGAAUAGACUCCAAUAUUACGUUUUUCCUGUUUUCUGAACCUUCUGGAAGGUCCCACAUGUAUUUUUUUUACUUUUCCUUUUCUAGUUUUUAAUAUCUUGUUCAUUCCAUAUAUCAUCAAUAAAGUCGAAGUACCAACAGUCAAUAUUUUUCAUUUUAAGCACUGCCGUAAGUGUGAUGACCGACACUAGCAAUUCAUUUGGUAUAUGCAAACAAAUACAUAAUUGUUUCCUACUUAAAUUUUGUAGUAAUUGUUCUUUUGCAUCACUCAAGCUUGUGGCUCGCUGAGGAGAGGGUCCGUGUCUCGGCAGAGCGUUUUAACGUGUUGCAUGUGUCAUGUCGGUGUUGUCGGACUGAUGUGUUUGUUUUUCGGACGAGUUAUAUGCGCGGAAGAAAACAAUCUUGUAACUCUUUGGAGACAUAGUUUACCUAACAUGUGCCUUUUCUGAUUUCUCAAAGUUUCGCCUUACUUCACCUUUUAGCUGUUGAGUGUUUUGCCUAUAUUUUUCACUUCUGUUUUCAAACUCUGGUUUUUCUUUUCUGUGGAUAACAAUUUCAUCCAUGUUGGAUACCCUCUCGUUCUUCCAUGUUUGUCAAAGCCUGGGGCGUGUGCUGAGCACCACUGUUGGGGUGGUGGCGGGGAUCGCCUGUUGGCGUUGCUCAACAUGCGCCGGUGCGAGUUGGAUGCGUCUUGCUUAGAGCAUCUUCAGCUGUUGGCCUCACAGGAGGGGUCAAAAAUCGCCUUUUGGGGGCGCACCGGCGUUAAACCGCGCACUGGGGCGUGAUGCCCCAGUCGCGGCGUCCACGUUUUUUUGAAAAAGUCAAAUACGGCGCAAACACGGCUCAAAUUUAACGUAAACAUCGGCGAGUUCGUUCAAAUUUAAACAUAUUUUACAAAAGAAGAAAAAAAC
rnacentral:lncRNA from 1 species